rnacentral:piRNA from 1 species
UACCACAUUAGAAGCAGAGCUACCCAUUAU